CUGAAAUGGCACAUGUUGAAAACGGUAACUGUCUUAUUCCAGAUUCUGAAUAAUGAUGUGGCAGUCAACUUGCUUGUUAACUAUCAAGAAAUGUUGAAGGUGAAUUCUUUACUGCUGAACUGGAUGAGAUGUUUACAUGGACAAAAAGAUUGAGAAGCAAAAACACAAUGAGAAAGUGUAUUUUGGCCUAGAAAAUGGAAUUUGUGAAACCUUGCCCCUGCCUUCAUAGGAAUGGAUUGCUUAUUAGGACCCCUCCCCUGCUCUCUCAUCUUCAAGAUGCUUUGUGCUCAGUGAGCACAGAAGUUAGCUUCUGUAACAAGUGAAGAUGCUGUAGGAGAGUACUACUUUCUAUGGAAUAGCUUUCUUUCUUUUUUCCCUGAUGAAUC